rnacentral:lncRNA from 1 species
AUGAGAGGGAAUGGUUUUAAGUUGCACCAGGGGGGGUUCAGAUUAGAUAUUAGGAAAAAAAUAUUCUCAGAAAGUAUGUCAAGGCACUGCAAUAGACUGUCCGGGGAGGUGAUGGAGUCACUGUCCCCGGGGGUUUUCAAGAAAAGGGUAGAUGAUGCACUGAGGGAAAUAGUCCAGAGUGGUUACAGCCACGGGUUGACAGUUGAACUGCAUGAUCUUACUGGUCUUUCCAACUUUAAUGAUUCUACAAAUGUUUCUGUGACCACAGAUGUCGAGCAGGUGAGGGGGCGGGAAGAGGCCCCAGGUCCCCUCCCUUCCUUUCCAAUCCUGGGAGCUCCGAGGGGCGACGGCCGAGCGCUGCCUCCUUCCCUCCCGUCGCCUCCCUGGAGAAGGCCGCGGAGAGCCUCCAGGCUCGCCCCUCGCGUUCCAUCCCCACCGUCCCCCCGCCAGGGGACCCCGCACCUUGCCCCCGGCCGAGGCGGCAGCGAGCAGAGCUGGAGUAGCUCAGCCGAGCAAGACUCCGAGCCGGAUCGCGGCUGCGGCGGACGCACGCAGGUGGUGCGGCGCCGGGAGAAGGGCCGCUCCGCGCGGUCUUCACCUGUGGGCGUGACCACCGUCCCCCCCUCCUCCUCCUCUCCCUCCUCCUUUUUACUUGAAGGGCCGGCGCUGCUCUUGUUGCAGAGAUUACAAGCGGAGCUGUGGCUGGGGAGUGGAGGACGUCUCGUUGUUGCUACCGACCCGCGCGAAGUGUCCCGCUCGCUGCGGAUCCGCGGGACAGGCCGGGAAGGGGAGAAGGCUGGACUCGCUGCGGAGCGCCGCUCUGCCCGGCGGACCGGAUCGUCCUUCCCCUCUGUCUCCAUCCCCGGCCGCUGGCGGGCACCUCCGCCCUCCCCGUCUUCUCCGCGGGAUCGCUCUCUCCCCUUCGCGGCGCUGCUCGCGCGGCCGGUAGCGGCGGGCUCCCCGGUGCCGCGGCCAUGCGGCGCUGCGCCGUCAGGCAGCGGGAGCCCUAGCGCCGCGGCUGGGUGGGCGGGGGGCGGGAGAGGCCGCCCUGCCGCUGGCACCGCCUCGGCCCCGGUCUGUGCCUGA